CCCGACCGUUGCUGCUACCUUGACGUGGUGAUCGGGUUUGCCUAUCGUGGUGAACCAAUCGAGCUAUACUGACCAUAAUAAUCGUUCCCCCAGGUCUUACCAUUCCAGACAGGUCAGUUGAAGAGCGAUAAGACUAAAAGCAAC
rnacentral:ribozyme from 1 species